CCUACGGGCGGCAGCAGUGGGGAAUAUUGGACAAUGGGCGAAAGCCUGAUCCAGCCAUGCCGCGUGUGUGAAGAAGGCCUUCGGGUUGUAAAGCACUUUCAGUGGGGAAGAAAGCCUUGGGGCUAAUACCCCCUAGGAAGGACAUCACCCACAGAAGAAGCACCGGCUAACUCCGUGCCAGCAGCCGCGGUAAUACGGAGGGUGCGAGCGUUAAUCGGAAUUACUGGGCGUAAAGCGCGCGUAGGCGGUCUGAUAAGCCGGUUGUGAAAGCCCCGGGCUCAACCUGGGAACGGCAUCCGGAACUGUCAGGCUAGAGUGCAGGAGAGGAAGGUAGAAUUCCCGGUGUAGCGGUGAAAUGCGUAGAGAUCGGGAGGAAUACCAGUGGCGAAGGCGGCCUUCUGGACUGACACUGACGCUGAGGUGCGAAAGCGUGGGUAGCAAACAGGAUUAGAUACCCCAGUAGUC
rnacentral:rRNA from 1 species